AGACAUUGGUAGUUUUUAAAUGCCCCCAGUGGAUUCUGAUGCCUUUUGUGGGUUGAGAACCACUGGUCUAUUCGGUCCAUUGAUUUUCAUCUCUCUGGGACUCCGUGGUGUGCCACAGAAGUUUCAACUGAUAUGCCCCACUUGAUCCUACUUUACAGUUUGACAAUUUGAAGAAAGGGUUCUAUUUCUAAAGGCUUAAAUAUUUAGGACCACUGAUGGAAUCCAAUGAGUUUUCAGCCUUUCAUCUCUCUUCACCUGAAUUUAUUUGUCAGGUUAAUCAUUUGGCAAUAAUCUCAUGUGUGUGUGUGCUCAGUCAUGUCUGACUUUUUUGUUACCCCGUGGACUGUAGCCUGCCAGGCUCCUGCGUCCAUGAGAUUUUCCCAGCAAGAAUACUGGCAUGGGUUGCCAUUUCCUUCUCCAGGGGAUCUUCCUGACCCAGGGAUUGAACCUGUGUCUUCUGCAUCUCCUGAGUUGCAGGGUUGGCCCUUUAACAUCUGUUGCGACAUGCCACCGAGUGUACAAGAAACAGCAUGAGAAGCCUCCUUUGGACCUUGAGGAAUUUAUUUAAUUUGUGAUGGUUUGCAUUUUGUUUGUGGGAGGAAUA
ensembl:lncRNA